GUACCGUUCGAAUAGGGCGGCACCUUGACGGUACCUAACCAGAAAGCCACGGCUAACUACGUGCCAGCAGCCGCGGUAAUACGUAGGUGGCAAGCGUUGUCCGGAAUUAUUGGGCGUAAAGCGCGCGUAGGCGGUUUCUUAAGUCUGAUGUGAAAGCCCCCGGCUCAACCGGGGAGGGUCAUUGGAAACUGGGGAACUUGAGUGCAGAAGAGGAGAGUGGAAUUCCACGUGUAGCGGUGAAAUGCGUAGAGAUGUGGAGGAACACCAGUGGCGAAGGCGACUCUCUGG
rnacentral:rRNA from 1 species